rnacentral:rRNA from 1 species
CCUACGGGAGGCAGCAGCUAAGAAUAUUCCGCAAUGGACGAAAGUCUGACGGAGCGACGCCGCGUGGAUGAUGAAGGCCGGAAGGUUGUAAAAUCCUUUUAUGACUGAGGAAUAAGGUGGAUGAGAGAAACGUCCAUUGGUGACUGUAGGUCAUGAAUAAGCAACGGCUAAUUACGUGCCAGCAGCCGCGGUAAU